rnacentral:rRNA from 1 species
GACAGAGGGUGCAAACGUUGUUCGGAAUUACUGGGCGUAAAGCGCGUGUAGGCGGCUCGGCAAGUCGGAUGUGAAAGCCCUGGGCUUAACCUAGGAAGUGCAUUCGAAACUGCCGAGCUGGAGUUCUGGAGAGGAAGGCGGAAUUCUCGGUGUAGAGGUGAAAUUCGUAGAUAUCGAGAGGAACACCGGUGGCGAAGGCGGCCUUCUGGACAGAAACUGACGCUGAGACGCGAAAGCGUGGGGAGCGAACAGG